GUUUGGUAGGGGAGACUGGAAUUCCUGGUGUAGCGGUGGAAUGCGCAGAUAUCAGGAGGAACACCAAUGGCGAAGGCAGGUCUCUGGGCCAAUACUGACACUGAGGAGCGAAAGUCUGGGGAGCGAACAGGAUUAGAUACCCUGGUAGUCCAGACCGUAAACGGUGGGCACUAGUUGUGGGAACCUUCCACGGUUUCUGCGACGCAGCUAACGCAUUAAAGUGCCCCGCCUGGGGAGUACGAUCGCAAGAUUAAAACUCAAAGGAAAUUGACGGGGCCCCGCACAAGCAGCGGAGCAUGCGGCUUAAUUCGACGCAACGCGAAGAACCUUACCAAGGCUUGACAUAUAGGGAAAAGUGGCAGAGAUGUCAUGUCCGCAAGGGCUCUAUACAGGUGGUGCAUGGUUGUCGUCAGCUCGUGUCGUGAGAUGUUGGGUUAAGUCCCGCAACGAGCGCAACCCUCGUUCUGUGUUGCCAGCAUUUAGUUGGGGACUCACAGGAGACUGCCGGGGUUAACUCGGAGGAAGGUGGGGAUGACGUCAAAUCAUCAUGCCCCUUAUGUCUUGGGCUGCACGCAUGCUACAAUGGCCGGUACAGAGGGCUGCAAUACCGUAAGGUGGAGCGAAUCCCAAAAAGCCGGUCUCAGUUCGGAUUGAGGUCUGCAACUCGACCUCAUGAAGUUGGAGUUGCUAGUAAUCGUAGAUCAGCAUCGCUACGGUGAAUACGUUCCCGGGGCUUGUACACACCGCCCGUCACGUCACGAAAGUCGGUAACACCCAAAGUCAGUGGCCCAACCGCAAGGGGGGAGCUGCCUAAGGUGGGAUCGGUGAUUGGGACGAAGUCGUAACAAGGUA
rnacentral:rRNA from 1 species